GGACUGGAUCAGGCUCAGGUGCAUCCAACCAGCCGUCCCAGCAACAGACAGCCAGCUCCACCCCUCCUCCCCACCAGCCAAUAGCAGGGUUGGCCCAAGCCCAGGCCAACAACAGCAACAACAAGACAGGCACCUUCACUGGCACUUACCCUGGCGCCUACAUAGGCUCCUAUGCAGGGUCCUUCACAGAUGACCUCCACAGACUGGUGGAUGACUGGGCCAUGGAGGCCCUGGCUGUCUCCUGGCGGCCGCGGCCCAGUUCCCUCAGCUUCAGUGGGCAGCCGCGUUGGAAUGACGACCCCAUGGGGCCCAGAACCAGAGCCAGACUGGCCAGCGCUCCAGAUGCACCUGCCAGGACAGCCCCUGGCUUUGAAGGCCCCCAGCUCUCCCUGUCAUGGCCGAUGAUUGACAGCCAGGCCCAGGGGUCAGUGAUGAGGACCAGCUCCCCGGGACAGGCAGGGUUCCAUCCUAGCUAUAUGGUGGCCCAUCCAGCCCCAGACCUGUUUGGGGGGCUGCCACCUUCGCCCCUCUCACCCUUCUGUGUAAGCCAGUGGCCUGAGCUGCUGUCCUCCUUGGGUUCAGGGGUGUUUGCUUUCCCUAUCGUGCCCCCAGCCUGGGGCACCCCGACUUCCGCCCCACCCUACGAGCCACCCGACCCCAAAACCAGGAACCUCUAACCCCUGUAGCAUCAUGUCUUCCAACUAUGUUACCAAAAAAUAAGUCAUAUGUAGUUAGAGCUGUGGUCUACUCUACGCACAGUAUGUAAACUGUAUAUAUUUAACCAGCAUGUAUGUAUAUAGUAAGCAUUUGUAUAUAUAGCCCAUAUAUGUUGUUAUCAAUGUGUGACAUUAUCAACCUCAAUUUACAUACCUCAUAUGUAUGUACAUAAGGGACAUAUGUAUAUUUUAUCACCUGUGUGAAUGUGCUGUAGUGUAUAUAAGGUGUGUAAUACAUUCAUUAUAUUUGCAUAAUCCAUUCAUUUUUUUUGUGCAUAUAAGCUUUCUGUGUAUUUAAAUUAUCUAUUUCUAUAUCAUUCAUUCCUACUGUAAGUCUUUGUACAUAAACUGUUCAUGUUUGUGUGUUUAUCACCCAUAUGUGUGUAUGUGUACCCAUGUGUGUGUGUUUUUGAGAGAGUGUGUCCAACAUGUUAUCCAUAUGUACAGUAGGGGCUGCAGGGCUCUGUCCUAACCCAGAAGAGAGCCAUUCACCAUCUUGCCGUCACUGUGAAGCCUUGUCUACCUGGAUACCAGCCUGGUCUCCCUGGUUACGAGCCUUGUUACCCAGGUCACCAGCUGUGUCACCCUGGUUAACAGCCUGGUCACACUGUUGGUUUCCCUGGUUACCAGCCGUGUCACCCUGGUUACCAGGACCGUCUGCUUCAUUACUCUGAUAUUUAUGUUGUAAUAUACUUCCUUCAUUCUCAUUGAAACUCUUCCAACGCUAGUGCUUGAAAUAGUCCUAAGAAAUGUGGAAGAACUUGAACUUAAUCUUCAGGAGAAAUAUCCUGCAAGAGUGCCUUGGAACAGUAGCUUCAGUUAGUUCUGGAGACAAGCAUGAGGCCAUUUGAGAUAAGUUAGGAUAAUGGGGUCAUAUUAUGUGUAUGGUUUUGUCUUUAAAGGUACUUGAUAUAUUUGUGUGAAUGUUAUAUUUAGGGGGAAAAAAACAGGUUGGUUAUAUUCAGGUUGCCAAUUUAGAAUGUUGGGAGUAUGACCAUGUUAUUGGUUGUUUUGUGAAUAUUAUAAUAACAGAUGGGACAUUAUCUAAUGUAGUACUGUAAGAUUCACACAGUGCACUGAAGCUAUGUGUUGGCCUCUUUGUCCAGAGGUUUCUACAAAGCAGUAGCUAUACGAUUUUGCUCCACUGACCACGGCCUGCAUGAACACGCACUAAAGCUUGCACAGGAUAAGUGCAAGAGUUAGGGGCAUUCUCUGGGUGAUAGCUACUGUUACUUGGCUGUCACAAAACAGUGGAUAUGUCAUACUGCACUGUACAGUAUGAGUAGAACUAAAGGGUUUCUCAGUAUGGACAUUCCUACAGUAUGCCUUAUUGUAGGUUUGAAUCAUUGUGGUUUCAGUAUUAAGGGGGUCAUUCCACGAAUAGUGCCUUUCAUGGCCUUGUGACAUUUUUAUAAAACACGCAAUUUAACAGUUGGUUCACAUACUUCUCCGCUCUUACUAAGCUAAACAUGCAAUUUAACAGUUGGUUCACAUAAGUCCAAUAGUAGCGUGUUUUCAUGAAAGUAAAUAAGUUGUUGCCUCUGAAAAUUCCCAUUUUGGCAUGUCCCAUGUUUGACAAUUUUAACCCACUCGCCACAAACAUUCCCAAAGUUUUCACCAUCAUUGUAAAGCCGUAGUUAUUUUCUUGCUUUGAUCAAGUACCAAUGGGUCCCUCAGGUUUAAGGUCAGCCCCGUUACAUGAACUGAGCUCUCCUUUAAAAAGAAAAAUGGAACAUCUAAUAGUCAAAGCAUAGUGUAAAAGCAGGUGAGCUGGUUCCACUCUUUUUGUCCAUUUCCAGUUUUUUGUGGCGGAAAACUGAGCGAGUCGAUCAUAACGCGCCGACCCCGUUACCCCUAGACAGAUAGGCUACACAUUUUUUUUAACAAGUUCACAUUUUUUGGUUCACCUCGUAUUGAAUUGCGCCUCUCUGUUCCAUACCUCCUGAGUUAUGGCUUAAUUAAGAUGAAAUCGUCAACGCUUUUACUUUAAUUGGCACUUUUACAGCCAUUUUUUGGGGGAUGGGGAAACAUGUUUUUAUGUAGUUUAACAUUUACUCUUAAUGACAGAAAUAAAUGUGUAUUUGUAUUAUUACACCACCGACAAGGCACUCUAUUCGUGGAAUGACACAAGUAUGGGUUUUGUUCAUUUUCUGUAGGGUUAAUGCACAGUACCGUAUGACAUAUAUGAAUGUUAGAGGCCGGUAUGAUAUAUAAUGAUUUGUAAUUUAUUGCAUGACCUAAACAAGUUGACUCGUCUAAAGCCCAUGUAGUAACCAACGGAAAAAAUUUGCAUUUCAUACGGUGUCUGUGGAGGCUGUUGGUUAAAAAAAAGUCAUAAUGUUCAAUAAGGAGUUUGAUCAUUGAUGUAAGAUCAGUCAUAAUCUGUAUUAUGAGGAUAAUAAGUACACAGUAACUAAUGUAGUGCUGUGUGUUGAUGACAGAGAAGGGGCUAUGUCUUCUAACUGCACAGUUCUUCCACUUUAGUCUUCUGAGAUGAUCAGAAUCGCAAGACCAGCCUAGUGUGUAUCAAUCAGUACUUCUUUCAUUUUGGUUUUGUGUUGUGUGACACAAUCAUUUAAAUCCAAUAUAACACACAUCAUGUUGUACAAUAAUAUCUAUCAACAAAGUUCAGAAAUCAUAUGACCCAAACAAUCCCAGCAAAGGCUCCAUACCCGGAAUGUGAGAUAAAUAGUGCCUGUCACUACUACACGCAUUCAGCCAAUAGCUUCCUUUGCCAACCAGUUGGCAAUUCUUGGAUAUAAAUCAUUUACUUGUUAUGAUUUGAAGCCGUUUCCUAGCUGUACAGUCGUUCAGUCAGUUCAGUUUGAAUUGAACUUUUGUAGACGAAUAGUGCAGAAUGUUCUGCUCUGAAUCCAAUCUUCCAUCCCGUGCAAAGCGAGACUUGUGUUCUCUGUAAACAGCAUCUGGCCUAUGCAGCUAUUGACAGGACUCAUCAUGCGCUCACUAUACACAGCAAGGCUGAACUCUGAACUCUGAUCUGUGACGCUUGCACUAGAAGCUCUGCUCUCUGUACGAUUGCUUUUGCCUAGCUUAUACUCUCCCUGCACUUUCCUGACACACUGGUCAUUAGCGCUCAUCUCGCUCACAAAGAUUGUACAUAUUUGAAGACAGAAAUAAAUAAUAAACUUGUUUUUGCUUGACAACAUGUUUUCUCUGCGUCUGUUAUAUUCAGUAGCGGUGUGUGGGUAAAAUCUAAAAAUCCGGGGAAGGUUCUGAUUUCUGUGUGUGUGUGUGUGUGUUUAUUCGUGAAAGCAGAAAAACAUGUUGACUCACCCUACUUGUGGAGAAACGCCAAUGCCAUCCUCCUCUCAUGUUGACGAAAUGGUA
rnacentral:lncRNA from 1 species